AGGACGAACGCUUGCGGCGUGCCUAAGAAAUGCAAGUCGAGCGGGGGAGCAAUCCCUAGCGGCGAACGGUCGCGUAACACGUAAGCAACCUGCCCGAAAGACCGGGACAACAGCUCGAAAGGGCUGCUAAUACCGGAUGUGUCCGUCUUUUCACAUGAUUAGACGAGUAAAUCAUUUAUGGCUUUCGGAGGGGCUUGCGGCCUAUCAGCUAGAUGGCGGGGUAACGGCUCACCAUGGCGACGACGGGUAGCUGGUCUGAGAGGAUGGUCAGCCGGACUGGGACUGAGAUACGGCCCAGACUCCUACGGGGGGCAGCAAUUAGGAAUCUUGUGCAAUGGGCGAAAGCCUGACACAGCGACGCCGCGUGAGGGAGGAAGGCCUUCGGGUUGUAAACCUCUUUUGACGAGGAAGAACACAAUGACGGUACUCGUCGAAUAAGCCCGGCUAACUCCGUGCCAGCAGCCGC
rnacentral:rRNA from 1 species